GUGGAUGUAGCUCAGUGGUAGAGCUUUUACCUAGAGUAAAGGCCCUGGGUUCAAUCCUCAGGUACCAUG
rnacentral:tRNA from 1 species